rnacentral:rRNA from 1 species
CCUACGGGUGGCAGCAGUGGGGAAUAUUGGGCAAUGGGCGAAAGCCUGACCCAGCAACGCCGCGUGAAGAAAGAAGGCUUUCGGGUUGUAAACUUCUUUUGACAGGGAAGAGCAGAAGACGGUACCUGUCGAAUAAGCCACGGCUAACUACGUGCCAGCAGCCGCGGUAAUACGUAGGUGGCAAGCGUUGUCCGGAUUUACUGGGUUUAACGGGCGUGUAGCCGGGCUGACAAGUUAGAGGUGAAAUCCGGGGGCUCAACCCCCGAACUGCAUUUGAAACUGUUGGUCUAGAGUAUCGGUGCGGCAGGCGGAAUUGAUGGUGUAGCGGUGAAAUGCGUAGAGAUUAUGAGGAACACCAGUGGCGAAGGCGGCCUGCUGGACGACAACUGACGGUGAGGCGCGAAAGCGUGGGGAGCAAACAGGAUUAGAUACCCGAGUAGUC